GAUAACUCAAGAACGCUUACGCCUAGGAUCAUGAAACUUCAUAGGUACAUUGAUCAUGACUCGAAGAUGACCCCUAUUGAUUUUGAGGUCACUAGGUCAAAGGUCAAGGUCACGGUGACCCGAAAUAGUAAAAUGGUUUUUGAAUGAUAACUCAAGAACGCAUACGCCUAGGAUCAUGAAACUUCAUGGGUAGAUUGAUCAUGGCUUGCAGAUGACCCCUAUUGAUUUUGAGGUCACUAGGUCAAAGGUCAAGGUCACGGUGACCCGAAAAAGUAAAAUGGUUUCCGGAUGAUAACUCAAAAACGCAUACGCCUAGGAUCAUGAAACUUCAUGGGUAGAUUGAUCAUGACUCGCAGAUGACCCCUAUUGAUUUUGAUGUCACUAGGUCAAAGGUCAAGGUCACGGUGACCCGAAAUAGUAAAAUGGUUUUCGGAUGAUAACUCAAGAACGCAUACGCCUAGGAUCAUGAAACUUCAUGGUUAGAUUGAUCAUGACUUGCAGAUGACCCCUAUUGAUUUUGAGGUCACAAGGUCAAAGGUCAAGGUCACGGUGACAAAAAUCGUAUUCACACAAUGGCUGCCACUACAACGGACAGCCCAUAUUUUUUUGCAGUUUUUCAUUUAUCAGUGGAAUAAUAGAAAAUUGACAAAUUUUAUGGAAAGAUGCAAAAAAGCGGUUAGAAAUUCUACUUAAAUUUAGAAUGCAAUACCCACACCUUUUAUGUCCCCCAGUCUAUACUGGGGGACAUAUUGUUUUUGCCCUGUCUGUUGGUUUGUUUGUGUCAAACUUUAACAUUGGCCAUAACUUUUUCAAUAUUGAAGAUAGCAACUUGAUAUUUGGCAUGCAUGUGUAUCUCAUGGAGCUGCACAUUUUGAGUGGUGAAAGGUCAAGGUCAUCCUUCAAGGUCAAAGGUCAUAUAUGGGGGACAUAGUGUUUCACAAACACAUCUUCUUAGAACUACAUUAGUAGGUACAGUUAAAACCUUUGGAAUGUUGUUUUGCUUGUAAGAAUUGCAUCUACAGUUUGUGCUAUCAUUUGCAGUUGAACAACUGUUGUUGUUUUUAUUUUUUCCAUGUUUUUUAGGCCAUAGAAAGAAAUGAUAGUCAUUUAACACACAUGUCAAGUGUUCAAUUGUGUGCAAUGAACGUCAAGAUUACAUAUGCAAUGAACGUCAAGUGUACAUAUGCAAUGAAUGUCAAGUGUACAUAUGCAAUUAACGUCAAGUGUACAUAUGCAAUUAAUGUCAAGUGUACAUAUGCAAUUAACGUAAAGUGUACAUAUGCAAGUAACGUCAAGUGUACAUAUGCAAUUAACGUCAAGUGUACAUAUGCAAUUAACUUCAAGUGUACAUAUGCAAUUAACGUUAAGUGUACAUAUGCAAUAAACGUAUUUAUUUUUGUUUAGUUCUUUUCUGUGUGCAUUAUUGUUCAACAUAUUAUAUUGCAUACAUGCAUGUUAUAUACAGAGUAGCUCAUGCACAUACUGUUUGUAUAUAAAAAUAUGCAGUUGUAAAACAUAAAUUCAUCUAUAAUACAAACAGUUUUAUAUUUCUAAAAAAUGUACUGAAUUGCACAGACAUACUAUAUAAAGUUGUUUAUGUAAGCAUGAAUGUCUUCUAUCUAUAUACUUUAGCAUAUGAGAUCUAAAAUACUUGUGCUGAAGUGCAGUGUGUAAUAUACACUGAUAAUGCAGACUUAACAAAAUACAGUAGUUCUGUGGUACACAAUAUGUGUAUUAUGUAUAAUGAAAAUAUGUUAACAAAGGACCAGUCUCUCAAUUCUGCAUCUGUUUUUAUUGUAGGUAUAUACAUUCAAACGUUUGCUAAAUACUUUUUAAAUAAUGUCCUUGCUGUGAAUUUUACAAAAUUGAUGCUCACAUGGUAUGUUAAGCCUACGUUAUUGACAUGUUGUUAAAUAUGUUCAGUUAUGUGAUUUUUUCAUAUUUUUGUGACGACAUGAUGUACCAAUGUAUGCCAUCAAAAUAUUGUUGUGUCGUGUUGUGUCGAUAGUUGAUCAUUUAACUGUAUUUUUAUUGAUGAAUUUUAAAAUGUUGGUUAUGAUUGUGUUUAAUAAAUAUUUAAAUGAA